rnacentral:ncRNA from 1 species
ACUGGCUUGUGGCGGCCAAGCGUUCACAGCUACGUCGCUUUCUGAUCCUUCGAUGUCGGCUCUUCCCAUCAUCGUGAAGCAGAAUCCACGAAGCGUUGGAUUAUUCACCCACUAAUAGGGAACCAGACAGGUUAGUUCUACUCAAGAU